AUUGAACGCUGGCGGCAUGCCUUACACAUGCAAGUCGAACGGCAGCACGGGAGCAAUCCUGGUGGCGAGUGGCGAACGGGUGAGUAAUAUAUCGGAACGUGCCCAGUAGUGGGGGAUAACUGCUCGAAAGAGCAGCUAAUACCGCAUACGACCUGAGGGUGAAAGGGGGGGAUCGCAAGACCUCUCGCUAUUGGAGCGGCCGAUAUCAGAUUAGCUAGUUGGUGGGGUAAAGGCCUACCAAGGCAACGAUCUGUAGUUGGUCUGAGAGGACGACCAGCCACGCUGGGACUGGGACACGGCCCAGACUCCUACGGGAGGCAGCAGUGGGGAAUUUUGGGCAAUGGGCGCAAGCCUGAUCCAGCAAUGCCGCGUGCAGGAAGAAGGCCUUCGGGUUGUAAACUGCUUUUGUCAGGGAAGAAAUCCUCUAGGUUAAUACCCUUGGGGGGAUGACGGUACCUGAAGAAUAAGCACCGGCUAACUACGUGCCAGCCGCCGCAGUAAGAC
rnacentral:rRNA from 1 species